GUGCUUCUACAUAUUUUGGGGAGCCAAAGUCUGGACAGAGACCAGAAGAUGAAAUAUUAGAAAUCAGGGUGGCACUGGAAACACAUGCCAGGGGCCUGUGGUGACCAUGACCUUGGCCUGUCUCUGAAAGUGGCUCAGCCCCUCUGGUUCCCAGCUCGCAGGCACCUGCACUCUGGAGAUAAAAGAUGAUCAAAGACACAUGCUGAGCUUGGUUUUAGGGCCAGAUAUCCCUGUUUCUGCAGCCACUGAGUAGAAAUACACCUCCCUGUUGGGAAGUCAGUUCAGCCCCACCCCGCCCUGGCUUCUGCCAGCAGCUGAGACCACAGGCCCAAAAGCCGUCAAGCUGUCUCUUCCACGUGCAUCUCUGCGCUUGUUAAUGAACCUGGCUGCUUUCCCCACAGCGUCCGCUUAAGGAGAACAUGGCCUUCCCCAAUGAGCUCUAAUUGCGGUCGUGCUGUCACCUUCAUUUUAUCUGGGAAAAUCACUCUGCAGCCCUCCCCGCCUCAAGCCCUCCCCAGAGGACCUGCAACGACUCACUCGUUUUUGUUUUUUAUUCCUCUUCCAGACCCUCACUCCACCGUUACCCAUCCUGCCCUGAGCCCCAGGAAGCUGACUGUGUGGACUGAAUCCUUGGGCUCCUGCCUCUGGCCUUUGGACAAGGGUGUCGCAUCUGCUUCCUGCUGGGAGAUCGGGAAGCCACGUGGGCUGACCUCGGGGCUACUGCAUCUUGAGGCCAAUCCAGAAAGAGACCCAAAAGCUCGGGGGCCAUGACUGGGACAGAGACAGGCUCCUCCCUGGCUGCCCACGGAUGAGAGCUGGACUCAGUGUGGGGGCUGGGUUUGUUAUUUGGGGCUGAGCUUGUGCUGUGACUUCUGGGCUUCAGUCUGGGGACCCCACGCAGCCACUGGACCCAGGAGCUGGUGGGGUCUCCCAGGCAGCCCAUGGACACAGGUGUUGCUGCAAAGACCUCAGGACCGUGCAUCAGAGGCUGCCCCCAGCACCUUCCUCACCUUCUCCCCUGGGUCUCCCAGCGCCCAAUGAGGCCGUCUCGGUGUGUGACUAUAUCUGAGUUUUCAAGACUGGAAUGGAAGAGAGUGUGCAGGCCCCAGUGUGCUUGGGGUGCCACACCCCUCAGGGAUGCCCACCCUGGGCAGAGCCUGUAUCUUUUUUCUUUUUUGAGAUGGAGUCUCUCUUUGUCACCCAGGCUGGAUGGAGUGCAGUGGCGCAAUCGUUGCUCACUGCAACCUCCAUCUCCCGGGUUCAAGCAAUUCUCUGCCUCAGCCUCCCAAGCAGCUGGGAUUACGGGUGCUUGCCACCUCGCCUGGCUAUUUUGUAUUUUUAAUAGAGAUGGGGUUUCACCAUCUUGGCCAGGCUGGUUUUGAACUCCUGACCUCAUGAUCCACCCGCCUCGGCCUCCCAAAGUGCUGGGAUUAUAGGUGUGAGCCACCAUGCUCAGUAACAGAGCCUAUAUCUUUAAUCUCCCUUGCCCCAGCUCCAGCUCCAGCCUACCAGUAACUCCGAAGCCUGCCACACCUAGUGCCUCUCUGCUCAGGCCUCAGUCUCCCCAGAGCACAGGCCUCUCAGCCAAAUAACCCCAUUGAGAUACCCAGCAUGUCAUGGCAGUGAUGAGCAAAACUCCAUCCUCCAAACACUAAAGUCUGAAUAAGGAAGAGAGUGAGCGGACCAUCCCGAGAAAAUCACCCUGUCCACACUCAGUGUCUCUCUUUCCACCAGCUGCCUUCCCCCACCCUCCCCACUCCCCACAGAAGGUAAGUGCAGGCCUCCUGACACUCACGGAGGAGGUACUCCGAGCUGUCGUGGUCGUAGUCAUUGUCCUCUGGGAAGUGAUUGAUCCGGAAGCAGUGCCCUUUAUAGAUCCCUGGAAGGAACAAGAGGAAAGGAACACUGUCAGUGCUGCGUGGGUUCACUUGCCCAUUUGCUCCAGACAUGGCUGCUGAGUAUGUGAGCCUCUGUGCAGGCCCUGGGAACAGACUGCAAACUGUGAGAAUCAAGGCAGGCUCCAGUGCCCCAGCCUGGCGGAGGCACGGGAGAAACACACACAGUGACCACACAGGGAGAGAUGUGCCCCAAAAGGGACCCUAGUUAUGGUCCAAGGGUGGAUGCGCAUGAGAGUAAUGGGACACAGCACGCAUCACCAUUGAGACAAGAGGUGCCAGGCGAGUUGCCCUGGGCAAGCAGGAGUUCGGAUCCCUCUACCCAAGGGACUCUUAGAUACAUCUUGAAAAAACCAAAAACAAAGAAUUUGUCCACUGUGAUUGAGGCACAGGGGGCUUUCCAGCAGAGGAGUAAGACAUGCGAAGGCAAGGGCGGCAUCUGUCUGUGUCUUUCCCUCUCUUAAACCAUAGCUACGGAUGGGUGCAGUGGCUCACACCUGUAAUCCCACCAGUUUGGGAGGCUAAGGAGGGUGGAUCACUGGAGCCCAGGAGUUUGAGACCAGCCUGACCAACAUGGUGAAACCUCUUUUCUACUGAAAGUACAAUAAUUAGCUGAAUGUGGUGGGGGGCACUUGUAAUCCCAGCUACUUGGGAGGCUGAGGUGGGAGGAUCACUUGAGCCUGGGAGGUGGAGGUUGCAGUGAACUGAGAUCACACCACUGCACUCCAGCCUGGGCAACAGAGUCAGACCCUGUCUCAAACACACUCAAAAAACCACAGUUAUGGUGACUCCUUCCUGGGGCACACAGUUUGCAGAUUCCACUCCCCUCACUCAAUGUGAUUGAAGGAAGGGAAGAUGGAGGAAGAGAAACUUCCAGAAGGGCUGAGACCAUCUCCUGCUUGGUUUCUUCCUCCCUGCUCUGAGAAAUGGCUCUCAUGGGGUCGGGGGCCGGACCCCCUAGGUAGCUUAGCAAUUCAGGACAGGCCACUCCUCCCUUCAAGAAUCUUCCACCCUGCUCUCCUAGUCCUCUGCCUCCCUGAAAUCUGAGAAUGCCCACCACAGAACUGGACAUUGGUUGCCAGGGGCACAGGGUGUUGCUGCAUCGUCCCCUCCGUGCCCCUUCCCCCGGCUCAGCCUUCCACUCCUGCAGCCCGGGAGUCACAAGCUCAUCUUGACACCCGAGUGUCCCGUGUUGGGGCUGUUUCCUUUUCUGCAGCGGAUGCAAGCCUGUUUCCCCACCCCCUGGCCUUGGUCAGUCAGGAGCACAGUCCUGGUGGCAGGGUCCAGGUGCACACCCAACUCUCAGUGCUUCCAAGCAGGAGAGGCCCCUGGUCAGCUGGGAGCACGCUGCCCUUCCACUUGGUCACCACGUUGCUGGUUACCAGCUGCCGCCCCCAAGCUCUUUCCUCCAUUGGGUCCCUUCAGCUACCUCCAAGGAGCUGGGGUGCAGAGUGACCACCCAGCUUCCUGAAGGUCUCUGGGCCCCAGGCGCCAGAGGUGGGGGUGGGAUGGUGGGGAGGCAGAGGGAGGGUCUCAGAGAUGAUGCUGGGAGUGUCCUCUGCAUGGGAUCCAGCAUGAACGACGUAGUUAUCAACCUCCCCGUUCUCAUCUGGAGAAUGGGCAGAGCCACAGCCAUUAUCUCUUGGGGCUCUUAGGAGAAUUACACCAUGUGGUACUUGAAAGGCACUUAGGGUGAUUCUUGGCCCAUGGUGGUGACUCAGAGUGUGGGGGGGUCGCUGCUGUUGGAUCUAGCAAUCACCCACUCACACUCCUUCAUGAGUGGCUGAAUCGGUGGAGAACCAUGAGGGUUUGUGAGCAAGAGGGAGGAACACCAAGACAGGCUGGCCUCAGGGUGGUGGGGGCGGGGUGGGGGCUCAGAGGCCAGAGUUGGCCAGUCACACCUGCCUCCCACUCCUGGCUCUCACACAGCAGGCUCAGAAUGUUCCUGGAGACCUGGAGUAGGCAUUUUCCCAGCCGUGGGUGGGUGAGACCAAGCUCUUCGCCCGUCCUCCCCUCCCCGCCCCCAACACUUAUUUUGGGCUACUUCAUGGGUCUACGCAAAAUUACCAGUCACGUAUGCAUGUUGGGACAAGUGACAAUAAGAGGUUGAAAAAGAAAAAGGAGUCUCUCUUUCCGGAUUUGCUCUGCGGCAGAAGGCUGCCAAGUCCACUCUGUGUCUUUCAGACCCUCCAUGUACACACCCUUCCACGUAUACACACGUGGGGUUCCGCCCAUCUUUAAAAAUUUACACUUGUCUUGAAAUAACUGUAGAAUCGCAUGCCAUUGUUAGAAAUAAUACUGGAACCAUCCACGUCGCCUUUAUACUCAGCUUCUCCCCAUGACAACAUCGUGCAAAACUAGUCCAAUAUCACCAGCAGGACACUGACAUUGACACGGCCAGGAUACAGAACACUUGUCACUGCCAGGAGCCCCCAUGCUGCCCUCAAGUAGCUGCACCCAUGCCCCCCUGCCCAUCCCCUCCCUGCCCUGAGUCAGCCAGGAAUAUGUUCUCCAUGUCAAUAGUUUUGUCACUUUGGAGACGCUCCUACAAGCUUUGGGGACCGGCUGUUCUCACUCGGCAUUACUGCCUCGGGAUGCAUUCGAGCUCUCGUGCGGAUCGAUGGUUUGCUCCGUGUCAUUCCUGAGUGGAAUUCUGCGUCAUGGACACGGCAUUGUUUGUUUCAUCAUUCACCCACCGAGGGACACCUGUUGUUUCCAGCGAUUACUAACGAGGCGGUGGAGAAGGGCAUGCGAUGUCUUCGGCCCCGGGGAGCAAAAAUGAGAUUGUUCUCUGCCCCUAGAGCCAGGAAUCUGGAAUAUUUCCCCUAAACAUCCUCUCUAGGUCAAACACCUUCAGUCAUUUCUUUUUUAUGCUGGAGACCUUUCUUAAAAGUCUGGUAAUCCUUCAUUGUCUUUUUUUUUGAGACAGAGUUUCGCUCUGUUGCCCAGGCUGGAGUACAGUGGUGCCAUCUCGGCUGACUGCAACCUCUGCCUCCCAGGUUCAAGGGAUUCUCCUGCCUCAGCCUCCCAAGUAACUGGGAUUACAGGCUCGAAUCACCACGCCUAGAUAAUUUUUGUAUUUUUAGUAGAGACGGGCUUUCACUAUGUGGAUCAGGCUGGUCUCAAACUCCUGACCUCAAGCAAUCCACCCACCUUGGCCUCCCAAAGUUCUGGGAUUACAGGUGUGAGCCACUGUGCCCGGCUGCCAUUUCUUUACUGACGGUUUGGAGAGCCUUCAUCUCCCUGGUUGCCUCCUCUGGGCUUGCUCCCAACUCUCAGUGCCUGGACACACAGCUCUACCACCAAACCCAACGUCCAGGCUGGGUCUGAGCAGCCCAAACCACCUUGGCACUUUCUCCUCCUCUUCUCUGGACCCCAUGCUUCUGUUAAUUUGACCGGGUAUCACCGUUGAUUCGGUCUCCUAGGAUUUUUUCACAAAAGCUGCCUUGCCUCCCCGGAACCUGUUUUUGUGGAGUAGCAUGUUUGGCACUAAGGACUUCACAUUUAUCCCUGUCAAAUUCAAUUUUGUUAGCGGUGGCCUAAGGCAUUUAAUAGGGAGAAAAUUAAUGACUGAUGCAAGACAUAACAGAGAAAGCCAUUUUCUUUUUCUUUUCUUUUCUUUCUUUCUUUUUUUUUUUUUUGAGACAGAGUCUCGCCGUGUCCCCCAGGCUAGGGCUGAAGUGCAAUGUCAUGAUCUCAGCUCACUUCAACCUUUGCCUCCCAGGUUCAAGUGAUUCUCCUGCUUCAGCCUCCUGAGUAGCUGAGAUUUUACAGGCGCCAGCCACCACGCCCAGCUAAUUUUUGUAUUUUUAGUAGAGAUGGGGUUUCACCAUGUUGGCCAGGCUGGUCUCAAACUCCUGAUCUCAGGCAAUCCAUCUGCCUUGGCCUCCCAAAGUGCUGGGAUUACAGGUGUAAGCCACCACGCCCGGCUGAGAAAGCCGUUUUCAAUCCACUUCACACGUGUUCACUCUUCACAAAUGGGCACUUGCUGUGCUAUCUAUUAAGUGAUAGGUGGCUAACUGUGAGCUCCUGACUGGCUGGGCUGCUGGAAUGCUGAGGUGGUGAGGUGGACACAGGGUGGCUGGGCUGUGCUCCCAGAAACACUGUGGUCUUUGCCUUUCCGAGGGCCAGGAGACCACUCUCGUGAGACUUUGUUAGCCACUCAGCCUCAGGCAAGUUACUUCAUCUAGAAAACUAGGAACUGGGCCAGAGGAAUUGGGCUUGAAGAUUCUAUGACGAUUUUGUGAAGAACAGGCACAGUGGUGUGUACACACGUGCAUAUCCCUUCAUUUGCAGAUAUCAUGGGCCACUUUCAU